GAUGAUUGGUUUUCCUUUGUCUUUAUGUUAUCUGGAAAACGUUUUGGUAGUGAUCGUAGUAAGCAUAAGUUUCAUCACAAGUUUCAACCAAAACGUUUUGCCUUUCUUUUGAUUAAAAAAAAAAAAAAAUGUUUUGCCUUUCAAACCAUCACCUAACAACCACCACCAGGCCUUGCUGCGUUGAGACUGAUUUCCCUACAAUGUUCCAUCUCUUCUCUCCUUAUACAUCUCCACCAACGGCCUUGACUAUGUCCUUUCUCCACUGGCCGAGCUUAGUGGAAGGAACCCAGGUUCAACCAGUCUCUGGCUCUGAAUUACUCUUAGCACCUUUUCAGUGGAGCCGCGUUGAAAAAUUAUAUCAUUGAUUGACUUGGACCUGAAGAUGAGUUCUUGCAAAUGGAUUCAUUCAGAAACCAGAAAUAGCAUGUGCUAUACAGUUCUCCUUACUGGUGCUUAGGAAUCAAUGAAUUUAAGUUAUGCACUAUUUUCUUUUUGCCACUAUUUGUUCUCUUUGCUGUGAUUCUUUGUCCACUUUCGAUUCUUGGAUUAAUUGCCUCUUGCUAAUGUUUUUUUUGGCUCGAAGCCAUGCCUUCUUCCUACAACUGAAGGGACCCCAUGUGCCAAUUAUGCCAGAUUUGUGAACCAGAUCUUACAAGGGCUGACUUACUUGCAGUUUUGUAAAAUGUCAUUCUACCAUGAAGUUAUGGCUGAGGGCUCUGCUGGUGAAGUCUGAUGGUGAUUCAAAAUUUCUGUUUCCUGCAAAUAUAUCACAAGAGCUGUGUUGCGGUAGGUGUUCUCCAUGUGAUGUUUAAGCGUGAGUUUCCUUUAAGUGUCUACAAUCUGAACAUCCUCUUGGAGGGUUUAUGCAAGAAUCUGGAAUACGGCAAGACUGUUAUUUUGCUACGAGAGGUAAGGUUGAGUUCUCCGGCGUCGGAUCCUGUUAGCUACAUGACUGUUAUAAGAGGCUUAUGCGAGGGGAAAUAGUUGGAGAAAGCAUUGGAAUUGUUGAAUGAUAUGUAAGGCAUCCAUAAUAAGCAUUUAUAAUCUUGCUUGCAACAAGCCAUAAAUUUUGCUGCAAAACUUUGGGGUCUUGAGUGCCUUUUUUGAGAUAAUCAGGGGAUAUCAUGCCUCCUAAUGGAGUGAUGGUUGCUAUGGAAAUUUGCACUGCCUAACGUAAAAAUAGAGGCCCCGACACUUGAGUCUGAAGGGGAAAACCAAACCCAUUUCAACAUCGCAGGCAUUAAGAAAAGUUCUGCUAACUCGGUGUCAAAAGCUGCAAAGAUAAAGGGCCGGUUGCUCAAGAGAUUAAAAAUGUCCUUAAGAGAUUUGAAUUUGGGAUCUAGUCCUCUGCUUAGGGGUCAAGACAGUGUUCCAACAGUGGAUUCAAUACAAUAGAGCACAUUGGUAGACUUCUACUCUUCAAUGAUUUCUUAAGUGUUGAGAGGUUCAAAGAGUUCUCUGCUUCAAACACUUUCUCCACUGAGGAUGAACCUUACAAAGGUCUUAGUAAUCUGUUUGGUUAGGUUAUCCCCUGCAGGAGAAUUAUGUUCUUACUUGGAUGAUGCAAAUUCAUUGGAUAUUCAGGCUUGCAUAAGAGAAUGUGUUUGGACAGCCGGAGAUUGAUUUAUCUCAUCCCGACACAGUCUAGCUAGCAUCAAUGGGGUAUGACACCGUUAGAUUGCCAUUAAAAACAAAUCCACAAAAAAUUGAGUCAUCUCCUUACCAAUAACCACUUCGGUUUUCUGAUUCUUCUUUGUGAAAUUAAUAGAAUUUUAUCAUAUGUAUUCACACUCUUAAUGUUUUGUGUUUUUUUUGGACAACAAUGUUUUGUGUUUAAGUCAAAAUAAGAAUUUCAUAUCA